GACGAACGCUGGCGGCGUGCUUAACACAUGCAAGUCGAACGGAAAGGCCCUGCUUUUGUGGGGUGCUCGAGUGGCGAACGGGUGAGUAACACGUGAGUAACCUGCCCUUGACUUUGGGAUAACUUCAGGAAACUGGGGCUAAUACCGGAUAGGAGCUCCUGCUGCAUGGUGGGGGUUGGAAAGUUUCGGCGGUUGGGGAUGGACUCGCGGCUUAUCAGCUUGUUGGUGGGGUAGUGGCUUACCAAGGCAUUGACGGGUAGCCGGCCUGAGAGGGUGACCGGCCACAUUGGGACUGAGAUACGGCCCAGACUCCUACGGGAGGCAGCAGUGGGGAAUAUUGCACAAUGGGCGGAAGCCUGAUGCAGCAACGCCGCGUUCGGGAUGACGGCCUUCGGGUUGUAAACCGCUUUCGCCUGUGACGAAGCGUGAGUGACGGUAAUGGGUAAAGAAGCACCGGCUAACUACGUG
rnacentral:rRNA from 1 species